rnacentral:rRNA from 1 species
AUUGAACGCUGGCGGCAGGCCUAACACAUGCAAGUCGAGCGAGCGGCGGACGGGUGAGUAAUGUAUGGGGACUGCCCGAUAGAGGGGGAUAACUACUGGAAACGGUGGCUAAUACCGCAUACUAUCGGAUAACCCAUAUGGGAUUAGCUAGUAGGUGGGGUAAAGGCUUACCUAGGCGACGAACUCUAGCUGGUCUGAGAGGAUGAUCAGCCACACUGGAACAGAAACACGGCCCGGACUCCGACGGGGGCGGCAUUGGGGAGUAGUGCAAAAUGGGCGCAAGCCUGAUGCAGCCAUGCGGCGUGUAUGAAAAAGGCCUUAGGGUUGUAAAGUACUUUCAGCGGGGAGGCGUUACCCGCAGAAGAAGCGCCGGCUAACUCCGUGCCAGCAGCCGCGGUAAUAC